GAUGAACGCUGGCGGCGUGCCUAAUACAUGCAAGUCGAGCGAACGGACGAGAAGCUUGCUUCUCUGAUGUUAGCGGCGGACGGGUGAGUAACACGUGGAUAACCUACCUAUAAGACUGGGAUAACUUCGGGAAACCGGAGCUAAUACCGGAUAAUAUUUUGAACCGCAUGGUUCAAAAGUGAAAGACGGUCUUGCUGUCACUUAUAGAUGGAUCCGCGCUGCAUUAGCUAGUUGGUAAGGUAACGGCUUACCAAGGCAACGAUGCAUAGCCGACCUGAGAGGGUGAUCGGCCACACUGGAACUGAGACACGGUCCAGACUCCUACGGGAGGCAGCAGUAGGGAAUCUUCCGCAAUGGGCGAAAGCCUGACCGAGCAACGCCGCGUGAGUGAUGAAGGUCUUCGGAUCGUAAAACUCUGUUAUUAGGGAAGAACAUAUGUGUAAGUAACUGUGCACAUCUUGACGGUACCUAAUCAGAAAGCCACGGCUAACUACGUG
rnacentral:rRNA from 1 species